AUUGAACGCUGGCGGCGGGCCUAACACAUGCAAGUCGAGCGAGCGGCGGACGGGUGAGUAAUGUAUGGGGAUCUGCCCGAUAGAGGGGGAUAACUACUGGAAACGGUGGCUAAUACCGCAUACUAUCGUAUGAACCCAUAUUGGAUUAGAUAGUAGGUGGGGUAAAGGCUCACCUAGGCGACGAUCUUUAGCUGGUCUGAGAGGCUGAUAAGCCACACUGGGACUGAGACACGGCCCAGACUCCUACGGGAGGCAGCAGUGGGGAAUAUUGCACAAUGGGCGAAAGCCUGAUGCAGCCAUGCCGCGUGUGUGAAGAGGGCCUUAGGGUUGUAAAGGACUUUAAGCGGGGAGGCGUUACCCGCAGAAGAAGCACCGGCUAACUCCGUGCCAGCAGCCGCGGUAAUAC
rnacentral:rRNA from 1 species